UACGUAGGGUGCGAGCGUUAAUCGGAAUUACUGGGCGUAAAGCGUGCGCAGGCGGUUUUGUAAGCCAGAUGUGAAAUCCCCGGGCUUAACCUGGGAAUGGCAUUUGGGACUGCAAGGCUAGAGUGUGGCAGAGGAGACUGGAAUUCCUGGUGUAGCGGUGAAAUGCGCAGAUAUCAGGAGGAACACCGGUGGCGAAGGCGGGACUCUGGGCCGAUACUGACGCUGAGGAGCGAAAGCGUGGGGAGCAAACAGG
rnacentral:rRNA from 1 species